CCUACGGGUGGCUGCAGUGGGGAAUAUUGGGCAAUGGGCGCAAGCCUGACCCAGCAACGCCGCGUGAAGGAAGAAGGCCUUCGGGUUGUAAACUUCUGUUCUCAGGGACGAAGCAAGUGACGGUACCUGAGGAAUAAGCCACGGCUAACUACGUGCCAGCAGCCGCGGUAAUACGUAGGUGGCAAGGGUUAUCCGGAUUUACUGGGUGUAAAGGGCGUGUAGGCGGGGACGCAAGUCAGAUGUGAAAUCCACGGGCUCAACCUGUGACCUGCAUUUGAAACUGUGUAUCUUGAGUACUGGAGAGGCAGACGGAAUUCCUAGUGUAGCAGUGAAAUGCGUAGAUAUUAGGAGGAACACCAGUGGCGAAGGCGGUCAGCUGGACAGCAACUGACGCUGAGGCGCGAAAGCGUGGGGAGCAAACAGGAUUAGAUACCCCUGUAGUC
rnacentral:rRNA from 1 species